rnacentral:lncRNA from 1 species
GGGGGGUGGGGGUGGGGAAAUGUGGCAACCAUGCCUGUGUAUCAGGGAUUGUUUCCAAGUGUGCUGGUCUUGAGUGAACUACUGGUGCAUAGCACAGAGUGAUGACAGAAUCAGACAUUUCUUUCAAUAAACUCACCUCUACCCUGUAUGCGUGUUCCCUUUAAGCCAAAGGAUUAAGCUCCAAAACAACAUUAGAAGGAGCAAAUCAAAUAUAAUAUGGACCUAAACAUACCAUUCCUUAUGCAUUAUGAACUGAUCUUCCGUCAGUAAACCCGGCAGCAGCCCAGAUGUUGGAACUCCAGGAGUCACACAGUAUCGUUGUGACAAUGGAAGAAUCUUCCAGAUGGACUGAUUUCUCCCUGCAGCUCUUCAUUGUGUUCUGGGACCAGUGAGUGCCUCUUUCAGGCCAUUCGUUCGUACUUCUACAAAGCAAUGACUUUAUCCCAAGCAUUUAAAUUUAAAACCGGUUUACUCAUGACUAUUACUGUAUGUGAGUGUGUGAGUGUGUGGUGUGUGGGGAACAGGGUACAUUGCCAUAGCACACAUGCAGUGGUCAACAGAUAAUCUUGUGGAGUUGGG